AUANNNNNNNAAUUUUUUAUGAUUUAUAAAAUUUUUUUAAAAUUUAUUUUACAUAUAAAUUUUAGUGUAARUUUUUAWAYAUUUUAAAAAUAUUUWAUUUUAUUAAAUUAGUAAUUAACAUUARAAAUUUAAGAAAUUAAGAUUUAGUAAUAUUAAAAUUAAUAACAAAUUUUGUGCCAGCAGUUGCGGUUAUACAAAAGUUAAAUUAAAUUUUAUUAGUAAUAAUUAAUAUAAAAUAAUUUAAUUUAAAUAUUAAAUUAAUAAGUGAAAUUUUAAUUUAAUUAAAAAUUAUAAUAAAAAUUGUAUGAUUUAAUAAAUUUUAAUAUAAACUAGGAUUAGAUACCCUAUUAUUAAAAAUUUAAAUUUAAAAUACUAAAAUAGUAAAUAAUUAUUUAUUUAAACUUAAAUAAUUUGGCGGUAUUUUAGUUCAUUUAGAGGAAUCUGUUUAUUAAUUGAUAAUCCACGAAUAAUUUUACUUAAUUUAUAAUUUUGUAUAUCGUUGUUAAAAAAAUAUUUUUAAAUAAAUUUAAUAUUUUAAAAUUUAAAAAGAAAAUUAAAUCAGAUCAAGAUGCAGAUAAUAAUUAAGAAUAUAAUGGAUUACAAUAAAUUUAUUUAUAUGAAUAUUAAAUUGAAAAAUUUAAUUGAAAGUGGAUUUAAAUGUAAUUUUAUUUAAUUUAAUAAAAUGAUUUUAAAUUAAAAUAUGUACAUAUUGCCCGUCGCUUUCAUUAAUAAGUUGAAAUAAGUCGUAACAAAGUAGAGGUACUGGAAAGUGUUUCUAGAAAGAA
rnacentral:ncRNA from 1 species